AUAAUGAAUGCAGUGUGUUUUUAGUGAGUGCAGAGUGUGUACACUGAAUGCAGUGUAUGUAGUGUGUUUGUAGUGAAUGCAGAGUGUGUAUAGUGAAUGUAGUGUGUAGUGAGUGCAGAAUGUGCAUAAUAAAUGCAGAGUGUGUAUAGUGAAUGCAGAGGGUGUAUAGUGAAUGUAGUGUGUUUGUAGUGAGUGAAGAGUGUGUAUAAUGAAUGCAGUGUGUGCGUGUGCGCGCUGGAUGAUGUGUGUGUGUGUGUGCUGGAUGAUGUGUGUGUGUGUGUGCUGGAUGAUGUGUGUGUGUGUGUGCUGGAUGAUGUGUGUGUGUGUGUG
rnacentral:lncRNA from 1 species